rnacentral:lncRNA from 10 species
GUUCUGGUACAAGACAAAGCCUCCACAGUUAAAGAAAACACUAGUUAAUCUAUAAAGUCCUAAUAUCCACAUGAUUUUGUCCAUAAAAUCAGAUAAUUUGGAAGAUGAAUAUAUUCUUGCUGAUUUCACAUCUACUUCUCUCAGCUUUUAAAAGAGGAAGAAUUGAAAUCUCCAACAAUGAUUGCUAAUUAGUCUAUUUCUUCUUGCAAUUCUUUCAGCUUUUGCAUACAUUUUUUGAAGCUUUUUGUUAGGCUGGAUGCUUCCUCCCUCUCCACCUGCCCUUGGACAUCAGACUCCAGGUUCUUUGGCCUUUGGACUCUUGAACUUUGGACUCUUUUGAUGGGGCCUCUUGAGCCUUUGGCCACAGUCUGAAGGCUGCAUUGUCAGCUUCCCUGCAUUUGAGGCUUUUGGACUUGGACUGAGCCACUACUGGCUUCUUUCUUCCCCGCUUGCAGAUGGCCUACCAUGGGAUUUCGCCUUGUGAUCAUAUUUGAACUGGUGGAAUAUUAACACCCGGAGCCGCUUCCACCAAGGAAGAUCGUCAGUGCUCAAAGACGGGAGGAGAUGGAUCAUUUGUCAUUUCAGAACUGAAUCCAGAAGUUGUUCUUCAAAUGGUAAUGCAAAUAAAUCAAACCCCACAG